GAAAAAGAAUAAGUUCCGCUCUUAUUAAGAUAGGGACUGAAAGUGGAAUGAAAGGUAUGAUCCACGCAUAUUCAUAUGUCUGUUCCAUAAAAAGGUUUUGAAUUCUUAAUUAACUGUUUCCGAUUCACCGGAUCUUACCUCUUUUGAAAGGAGUCAAUAAAAAGUCAAAAUAUGGACUAACUUAAACUAAUUUAAAACUUAAAUCGAAUUUUCUAUUCUUACUUAUUCUGAGUCUUUGAUAAAUACUUCAACUAUUGAAAUCAAGAAGUUACAAUUAGUCAAAUGAUAUGAAAGGGAUAAAUUACUAAUCUCUUUUGAAAUAGGCCUAUUUUUCUCCAAGUUUGACCAGUGAAUGGAAUGGGGAUUCAAGUUUUUCAUUUCAUGAAGUAAAAAUGCGGUU
rnacentral:lncRNA from 1 species